CUGGCCAAAGGCAGGCGCCAAACCACUAAGCCACCCAGGGAUCCCCAAAAAAUUUUUUUAAAAAAGGUUUAUAUUGUGUCUAUUUUAUCAAAUUAAAAAAAUAAAACCUGGGGAUCCCUGGGUGGCUUAGUGGUUUGGCGCCUGCCUUUG
rnacentral:ncRNA from 1 species